AGUGAACGCUGGCGGUAGGCCUAAUACAUGCAAGUCGAACGGCAGCACAGUAAGAGCUUGCUCUUACGGGUGGCGAGUGGCGGACGGGUGAGGAAUACAUCGGAAUCUACUUUUUCGUGGGGGAUAACGUGGGGAAACAUACGCUAAUACCGCAUAUGACCUACGGGUGAAAGCAGGGGAUAUUCGCACCUUGCGCGAUUGAAUGAGCCGAUGUCGGAUUAGCUAGUUGGCGGGGUAAAGGCCCACCAAGGCGACGAUGCGUAGCUGGUCUGAGAGGAUGAUCAGCCACACUGGAACUGAGACACGGUCCAGACUCCUACGGGAGGCAGCAGUAGGGAAUAUUGGACAAUGGGCGCAAGCCUGAUCCAGCCAUACCGCGUGAGUGAAGAAGGCCUUCGGGUUGUAAAGCCCUUUUGUUGGGAAAGAAAAGCAGCAGGUUAAUACCCCGCUGUUCUGACGGUACCCAAAGAAUAAGCACCGGCUAACUUCGUG
rnacentral:rRNA from 1 species